rnacentral:rRNA from 1 species
AUUGAACGCUGGCGGCAGGCCUAACACAUGCAAGUCGAGCGGAUGAAGGGAGCUUGCUCCUGGAUUCAGCGGCGGACGGGUGAGUAAUGCCUAGGAAUCUGCCUGGUAGUGGGGGAUAACGUCCGGAAACGGGCGCUAAUACCGCAUACGUCCUGAGGGAGAAAGUGGGGGAUCUUCGGACCUCACGCUAUCAGAUGAGCCUAGGUCGGAUUAGCUAGUUGGUGGGGUAAAGGCCUACCAAGGCGACGAUCCGUAACUGGUCUGAGAGGAUGAUCAGUCACACUGGAACUGAGAAACGGCCCAGACCCCUACGGGAGGCAGCAGUGGGAAAUAUUGGACAAUGGGCGAAGCCUGAUCCAGCCAUGCCGCGUGUGUGAAGAAGGUCUUCGGAUUGUAAAGCACUUUAAGUUGGGAGGAAGGGCAGUAAGUUAAUACCUUGCUGUUUUGACGUUACCAACAGAAUAAGCACCGGCUAACUUCGUG